AGUGAACGCUGGCGGUAGGCCUAACACAUGCCAGUCGAACGGCAGCACAGUAAGAUCUUGCUCUUACGGGUGGCGAGUGGCGGACGGGUGAGGAAUACAUCGGAAUCUACUUUUUCGUGGGGGAUAACGUAGGGAAACAUACGAUAAUACCGCAUACGACCUACGGGUGUAUGCAAGCGAUCUUUGGACCUUGUGCUAUUGAUAGAGCCGAUGUCGGAUUAGCUAGUUGGCUGGGUAAAGGCCCACCAAGGCGAGGAUCCGUAGCUGGUCUGAGAGGAUGAUCAGCCACACUGGAACUGAGACGCGGUCCAGCCUCCUACGGGAGGCAGCAUUAGGGAAUAUUCGCCAAUGGGCUCAAGCCUGAUGCAGCUAUUCCGCGUGAGUGAACAAGGCCUUCGGGUUGUAAAGCUCUUUUGUUUGGCAAGAAAAGCUGUAGUUUACUACCCCCCUGUUCUGACGUUACCCAAAGAAUAAGCACCGGCUAACUUCGUG
rnacentral:rRNA from 1 species